rnacentral:siRNA from 1 species
GAGUUUGAUCGGUGCAUUGA